ACAGAUAGCUAGGAACGCCGAAGUCGUUAGCCAAGUCUCUAAAAGAAGUACAAAAUAAGUCGAGAACAAACCCGGCGAGUCGAGGUGAGCCGGGAACUGAGUUCGAGUGCUCAACUAUUUUGGUGACGGCCUCUCUCACAAGUGGUUCAUGGGUUUGAACUACACUCCUAAUAAAGUUAGCCGCAUCUGUGUCUAGAUCAGGUUGAGGGAGGUGAAUGAAUUUGAUGCGAGUGGUGGUGCUGGCGGCGGUGAGA
rnacentral:lncRNA from 1 species